CCUACGGGAGGCAGCAGUGAGGAAUAUUGGUCAAUGGACGCAAGUCUGAACCAGCCAUGUCGCGUGCAGGAUGACGGUCCUAUGAGUUGUAAACUUCUUUUGUACGGGGGUAAGUCCCGCUACGUGUCUCGGGUUGGAAGUAUCGUACGAAUAAGGAUCGGCUAACUCCGUGCCAGCAGCCCCGGGAAGACGGGGGAUUGAAGCGGUUACCGGAUUUAUUGGGUGUAAAGGGUGCGUAUGGGGUACGAUAAGUUAGAGGUGAAAUUCCCGGGCGCAACACCGGCACUGCCUGUGAUACGGGCGGGCUGGAGUGUAGUAGCGGUAGGCGGAAUGGAUGGUGUAGCGGUGAAAUGCAUAGAGAUCAUGCAGAACACCGAUUGCGAAGGCAGCUUACCAGACUACAACUGACGUUGAGGCACGAAAGCGUGGGGAGCAAACAGGAUUAGAUACCCCGGUAGUC
rnacentral:rRNA from 1 species